GGGGUCCAGAAAAGUCAGAUCCACAGCCACUCUGUUGCUGGCUGUUUCUGUAAAUGUUGAGAAGGAAGAUGAAAAUGAUGUAGGGUCUGUUAUCGUUUACUUACUGCUUCAAAAAAAACACAGAGCUAGCAGUUGAAGACUGGACUCUGCCUGGCCCUGAUAUGAAUAUACUCUAUAUGUGUCCUUCGUAAACCUGUUCAAACUCGGGAUAAGAAUAUGGGAAGACGGAAGGCAGGAACAAGACAAGAAUUAUAGAGAUGUUCCCAUAUUUUAAAGGAGAAAGAGAGUAAUUCUCUGGAGAAAGUCUAUGAGAUGAUGACACUCGGGAGAGAGUCAUUAUUCUCUCCUCCACAAUGAAACAUCUUUAUGCAACAGAAUCACCAUUGUUCCAGCCUUGUCUCCGGCCAUCUCUGCACCAGAUCCUGACCCUGACCCAGCACCAGACCCAGCACCAACCCCUGGCAGCCAGUCCUUGUCCCAGCACGACUUCCAAUACUGACCCUAACACAAGUACCAACCCAGGUUCUCCCGGUCCCAGCUAUAACACCAGCACCAGCCCUGGAUUAUUACUAUUGCCAAUAUUCUUAAUACAAAUGUCUAAGACAAAUGUCAAAGAGAAUAACAACACACAGUUGAAACAAUUGUUUUUUCUCAAAUUGGCUUAUAAUCCCCUAUUAGUUACAAGGUCAGGGAGUAUGGUGAGAAAAUUACAAACUCUGUUAUGCACAUAUGCUGUAUAAGCCUAAAACAUGUACAUUUCCACUGUCUGUUUCUGUCAUGUAAGAAGAAGCUAGUGUUCUUCCACUCUUGUCUUUGUUUAACUUAGUCACGCGGCCAAAGACAAAGGUCCGUCUGAGAGUGACCACAGUUUUUCAUCUUUCAAGACCACAGCUGUGUGUAGAUAUGAAGAGAACAGAGGCUAGUUUGAGCAGCAGCAGAUAGAUAGUAACAAAACUGGCGUUAUCUCUUGUUUCUACGCUAUGUUCCCACCAGGCUCUCACACAUCUGCUAAACAGCCACGUAGACAUAGGUUAUUCAUUGGGCUCUUAACUCUGCACCAUUGAGUGAAUUGUUAACCGUUACAGAAUUGCAAUUCUUAUAAUAAAGUUGUUUGAAGAAUC